UGAAACAUUCGUUUUCGUACGACCACAGAAGUUAAGCAACGUUGAUCCUGGUCAGUACCUAGAUAGGUGACCGCUUGGGAAUACAGGUUG